GGAUCGCCCUUCCUACGGGAGGCAGCAGUAGGGAAUAUUGCACAAUGGGGGAAACCCUGAUGCAGCGACGCCGCGUGAGUGAUGAAGGCCUUCGGGUCGUAAAGCUCUGUCGUAUGGGACUAACAAAAUGAAGGUACCAUGCAAGAAAGGAUCGGCUAACUUCGUGCCAGCAGCCGCGGUAAUAAGGGCGAUCCC
rnacentral:rRNA from 1 species